AGCUUGCUUCCUGGUGGCGAGCGGCGGACGGGUGAGUAAUGCAUAGGAAUCUACCCGGUAGUGGGGGAUAACCUGGGGAAACUCAGGCUAAUACCGCAUACGUCCUACGGGAGAAAGCAGGGGCUCUUCGGACCUUGCGCUAUCGGAUGAGCCUAUGUCGGAUUAGCUGGUUGGUGAGGUAAUGGCUCACCAAGGCGACGAUCCGUAGCUGGUCUGAGAGGAUGAUCAGCCACAUCGGGACUGAGACACGGCCCGAACUCCUACGGGAGGCAGCAGUGGGGAAUAUUGGACAAUGGGCGCAAGCCUGAUCCAGCCAUGCCGCGUGUGUGAAGAAGGCCCUCGGGUUGUAAAGCACUUUCAGUGGGGAAGAAAGCCUGCCGGUUAAUACCCGGGAGGAAGGACAUCACCCACAGAAGAAGCACCGGCUAACUCCGUGCCAGCAGCCGCGGUAAUACGGAGGGUGCGAGCGUUAAUCGGAAUUACUGGGCGUAAAGCGCGCGUAGGUGGCUUGAUAAGCCGGUUGUGAAAGCCCCGGGCUCAACCUGGGAACGGCAUCCGGAACUGUCAGGCUAGAGUGCAGGAGAGGAAGGUAGAAUUCCCGGUGUAGCGGUGAAAUGCGUAGAGAUCGGGAGGAAUACCAGUGGCGAAGGCGGCCUUCUGGACUGACACUGACACUGAGGUGCGAAAGCGUGGGUAGC
rnacentral:rRNA from 1 species